rnacentral:rRNA from 1 species
CAGCCCUAAACGAUGCGCGUUAGGUGUAUCGGUGACCACGAGUCACCGAGGUGCCGAAGGGAAACCGUGAAACGUGCCGCCUGGGAAGUACGGUCGCAAGGCUGAAACUUAAAGGAAUUGGCGGGGAAGCACCACAACGGGUGGAGCCUGCGGUUUAAUUGGACUCAACGCCGGGAAGCUCACCGGAUAAGACAGCGGAAUGAUUGCCGGGCUGAAGACCCUGCAUGACCAGCUGAGAGGAGGUGCAUGGCGUAGUCGUGU